CAACUAUCACUCCGUCCGAAAAUACUUGUCAUCAAAAUAGAUAAAAAUUGAUGUAUCUAGAACUAAUAUACAUCUAGAUACAUCCCUUUUAUUUAUUUUGAUGACAACUAUUUCCGGACGGAGGGAGUAUUUG
rfam:Triticum urartu cultivar G1812 contig485425, whole genome shotgun sequence.